rfam:Aspergillus carbonarius ITEM 5010 unplaced genomic scaffold ASPCAscaffold_10, whole genome shotgun sequence.
GGCCUUAUAGCUCAAUGGUAGGGCGUCAGUUUUCGGUACUGAAGAUUCUGGGUUCGAGUCCCAGUGGGGUCG